rnacentral:rRNA from 1 species
AGUGAACGCUGGCGGUAGGCCUAACACAUGCAAGUCGAACGGCAGCACAGUAAGAGCUUGCUCUUACGGGUGGCGAGUGGCGGACGGGUGAGGAAUACAUCGGAAUCUACUUUUUCGUGGGGGAUAACGUAGGGAAACUUACGCUAAUACCGCAUACGACCUACGGGUGAAAGCAGGGGAUCUUCGGACCUUGCGCGAUUGAAUGAGCCGAUGUCGGAUUAGCUAGUUGGCGGGGUAAAGGCCCACAAAGGCGACGAUCCGUAGCUGGUCUGAGAGGAUGAGCGGCCACACUGGAACUGAGACACGGCCAAGACUCCUAAGGGAGGCAGCAGUGGGGAAUAUUGGACAAUGGGCGCAAGCCUGAUCCAGCCAUACCGCGUGGGUGAAGAAGGCCUUCGGGUUGUAAAGCCCUUUUGUUGGGAAAGAAAAGCAGCAGGUUAAUACCCCGCUGUUCUGACGGUACCCAAAGAAUAAGCACCGGCUAACUUCGUG